CCUACGGGCGGCAGCAGUGAGGAAUAUUGGUCAAUGGGCGCGAGCCUGAACCAGCCAAGUAGCGUGAAGGAUGACUGCCCCACGGGUUGUAAACUUCUUUUAUAAAGGAAUAAAGUGAGGACCGUGGGCCUUUUUGUUUGUACUUUAUGAUUAAGGAUCGGCUAACUCCGUGCCAGCAGCCGCGGUAAUACGGAGGAUCCGAGCGUUAUCCGGAUUUUUUGGGUUUAAAGGGAGCGUAGAUGGGUUGUUAAGUCAGUUGUGAAAGUUUGCGGCUCAACCACAAAAUUGCAAUUGAUACUGGCAGCCUUGAGUACAGUUGAGGUAGGCGGAAUUCGUGGUGUAGCGGUGAAAUGCUUAGAUAUCACGAAGAACUCCGAUUGCGAAGGCAGCCUACUAAACUGCCACUGACAUUGAUGCUCGAAAGUGUGGGUAUCAAACAGGAUUAGAUACCCCAGUAGUC
rnacentral:rRNA from 1 species